GCAGUCGAGGGGUAUAGGUUUUCGGACCUAGAGACCGGCGCACGGGUGCGUAACGCGUAUGCAAUCUACCUUUUACAGAGGGAUAGCCCAGAGAAAUUUGGAUUAAUACCUCAUAGUAUUAUUGAAUGGCAUCAUUUAAUAAUUAAAGUCACAACGGUAAAAGAUGAGCAUGCGUCCCAUUAGCUUGUUGGUAAGGUAACGGCUUACCAAGGCAACGAUGGGUAGGGGUCCUGAGAGGGAGAUCCCCCACACUGGUACUGAGACACGGACCAGACUCCUACGGGAGGCAGCAGUGAGGAAUAUUGGUCAAUGGGCGCAAGCCUGAACCAGCCAUGCCGCGUGCAGGAUGAAGCAUCUAUGGUGUGUAAACUGCUUUUGUACGAGAAGAAACACUCCUUCGUGAAGGAGCUUGACGGUAUCGUAAGAAUAAGGACCGGCUAACUCCGUGCCAGCAGCCGCGGUAAUACGGAGGGUCCAAGCGUUAUCCGGAAUCAUUGGGUUUAAAGGGUCCGUAGGCGGUUUUGUAAGUCAGUGGUGAAAGCCCAUCGCUCAACGGUGGAACGGCCAUUGAUACUGCAAGACUUGAAUUAUUAGGAAGUAACUAGAAUAUGUAGUGUAGCGGUGAAAUGCUUAGAGAUUACAUGGAAUACCAAUUGCGAAGGCAGGUUACUACUAAUGGAUUGACGCUGAUGGACGAAAGCGUGGGUAGCGAACAGGAUUAGAUACCCUGGUAGUCCACGCCGUAAACGAUGGAUACUAGCUGUUCGGAGCAAUCUGAGUGGCUAAGCGAAAGUGAUAAGUAUCCCACCUGGGGAGUACGUUCGCAAGAAUGAACUCAAAGGAAUUGACGGGGGCCCGCACAAGCGGUGGAGCAUGUGGUUUUAUUCGAUGAUACGCGAGGAACCUUA
rnacentral:rRNA from 1 species